GAUGGAUGUAUUUUACACUGAUUAUGUGUAGCCAUGAUUUAAUUUUACAAAAGAAGGAGAUAUUCUAUGAGUUUGAUAUCCUGUAAACUUUUCCGCUGAAAAUCAAAAUAAUGACUGCAUAAAAUACAAAGCAACCUCCCUAAAGACUGAUGAGGUGGUACUUCUACCCAUUUACCUUGGAAGGAAGGCAUGCUCUCAGGGUAAGGGUGGAAGACAUCUCCCUCCCACACGGAGGUGGAUGUAACCUGGCUGGUGGUGACAAUACUGCUAGGCCUUGAAGGUAAGAUUGUGGUCCUCCAAGCCACUAGAACAGCGCCUAAAAAUUGGCAAGGGUAGAGCUUAGAAAUGGUUAUCCCACCUUAUCCCACUGUCCCCCUACAGACAUCGGCCCACACCCUAUACCACCAGACAUGAACACCAGUUUUGCAGACACACAGGAGCCACAAAAUCCCCCUCCCUGGCCUCAAAAAAAAGUACCUUAUUGUAAUGUUUGAUAACAGAAAUGAAAGUGUGAGAAGGGAAAUCGAAAGUUUGAAAUCCCUGGUCAGGGUGGACACUUCGAAUUGUGAGGUGGUGCCCUCACAUGUGAAAGUGCACUGAUGCCAAGAGAGACAUUCAGUAAACUAAAGGAGUGCUUCAGGAAGAGCAUCUCCAAUAUGAGAAGAGAAACUGAAAUUGAAGGAUGACCUGAUAUGGUUUGGAUAUGGUGCUAUGCUGACAGAAUCAUUUGACAUUUCAUCUGUGAGACCCAGUUUCCUGAAAUCUGACCUCUGUACUGCUUCCUAUAUAUUCCAUG